rnacentral:rRNA from 1 species
GACGAACGCUGGUGGCGUGCUUAACACAUGCAAGUCGAACGGUGAAGCUCCAGCUUGCUGGAGUGGAUCAGUGGCGAACGGGUGAGUAACACGUGAGCAACCUGCCCCUGACUCUGGAAUAAGCGCUGGAAACGGCGUCUAAUACUGGAUACGAGAAGGGUCCGCAUGGGCACUUUCUGGAAAGUUUUUCGGUUGGGGAUGGGCUCGCGGCCUAUCAGCUUGUUGGUGAGGUAAUGGCUCACCAAGGCGACGACGGGUAGCCGGCCUGAGAGGGCGACCGGCCACACUGGGACUGAGACACGGCCCAGACUCCUACGGGAGGCAGCAGUGGGGAAUAUUGCACAAUGGGCGAAAGCCUGAUGCAGCGACGCCGCGUGAGGGAUGACGGCCUUCGGGUUGUAAACCUCUUUCAGCAGGGAAGAAGCGAAAGUGACGGUACCUGCAGAAGAAGCACCGGCUAACUACGUG